rnacentral:rRNA from 1 species
CCUACGGGAGGCAGCAGUGAGGAAUAUUGGUCAAUGGGCGAGAGCCUGAACCAGCCAAGUCGCGUGAAGGAUGAAGGAUCUAUGGUUUGUAAACUUCUUUUAUAUGGGAAUAAAGUGAGGAACGUGUUCCUUUUUGUAUGUACCAUAUGAAUAAGCAUCGGCUAACUCCGUGCCAGCAGCCGCGGUAAUACGGAGGAUGCGAGCGUUAUCCGGAUUUAUUGGGUUUAAAGGGUGCGUAGGUGGUUAGUUAAGUCAGUUGUGAAAGUUUGCGGCUCAACCGUAAAAUUGCAGUUGAAACUGGCAGUCUAGAGUACAGUAGAGGUGGGCGGAAGGCGUGGUGUAGCGGUGAAAUGCUUAGAUAUCACGAAGAACUCCGAUUGCGAAGGCAGCUCACUGGACUGAAACUGACGCUGAUGCUCGAAAGUGUGGGUAUCGAACAGGAUUAGAUACCCCAGUAGUC